AUGGGUGACCUGAUUCCGGGCCUCCCGGAGGAGGUGGCGCGGGAAUGCCUGCUCCGGGUGGGGUUCCGUCAGCUCCCAGCAGCGCGCCGCACCUCGCGGCAGUGGAAGGCGGAGGUGGAGUCGCCGCUCUACGGCCGCCUCCGCCGGGCCAACGGCCAUGCCCGCCCAAUCCUCGCCCUCGCCCAGGCCCUUCCCGCGCUCGCCGCCUCCGGCCCGGCCCGCAAGUACGCUGCGUCCGCCGCCCUCUCCAACUCCUACCGGCUCGUGCUCCACGACCCGGCCGACGGAGGGUGGGCCACUCUGCCCCCGCUCCCAGGCGGCCGGGGGCUCCCGCUCUUCUGCCAGCUCGCCGCCGUGGCCUGUGGCGAGAGGAGGAAGCUGGUGGUGGUGGGCGGCUGGGACCCUGAGACGUGGGCGCCGACGGACACGGUGCACGUGUACGACUUCCUGGAGGGCGCGUGGCGGAGCGGCGCGCCGAUGCCUGGGCCGCGUCGGUCGUUCUUCGCAUGCGCGGCGACCGGAAGAAGGGUGUUCGUCGCCGGCGGCCACGACGAGGAGAAGAACGCGCUGCGGUCGGCGGCGGCAUACGACGCCGAGGCCGACGCGUGGGCGGCGCUGCCCGACAUGGCGCUGGAGCGGGACGAGCCAAGAGGGGUCCGCGUCGGCGCCAGGUUCGUCGUGGUUGGCGGGUACCCGACGGAGGCGCAGGGCCGGUUCACCGGCACCGGCGAGGCAUUCGACACAGACGCCUGGGCGUGGGAUCCAGUGCUGGACAGGAUAGUCAACGAGGGGGCGUGCCCGGGGACGUGCUGCGCCGCGCCGUCCGCGGCAGGCGCCAUGUACAUGCUACGUGACGGCCACCUCGCGGUGCGGGACGGCGACAGCGGGUGGCGGGCGGUGGCGCCGGUACCGGAGGACGGGCGCGCGGCGACGGUCAUCGUGGCCAUCGGGGACGGCCGCGUGGCCGCCAUCGGCGCCGGGCGCCACGGCGGUGAGCAGGCCGUGUAUGUGCUCAACAAGGAGGCUGGAACCAACGGGGCGGCGCCGUCGUGGGCGCGCGCCCGGGCGCCGCAGGAGUUCGCCGGGCACGUGCAAGCCGCGUGUUGCGUAGAAGUAUGA
rnacentral:rRNA from 1 species